rnacentral:rRNA from 1 species
UACGGAGGGUGCAAGCGUUAUCCGGAUUCACUGGGUUUAAAGGGUGCGUAGGAGGGCAGGUAAGUCAGUGGUGAAAUCCUGGGGCUUAACCCCAGAACUGCCGUUGAUACUAUCGGUCUUGGAAUGUCGUGGAGGUGAGCGGAAUAUGUCAUGUAGCGGUGAAAUGCUUAGAUAUGACAUAGUAACGACCAAUUGCGAAGGCAGCUAGCAACAUCGGUAUUGG